rnacentral:rRNA from 1 species
UACGGGGGGGGCAAGCGUUGUUCGGAAUUACUGGGCGUAAAGGGCUCGUAGGCGGCCAACUAAGUCGGAUGUGAAAUCCCCAGGCUUAACCUGGGAACUGCAUCCGAUACUGGAUGGCUUGAAUCCGGGAGAGGGAUGCGGAAUUCCAGGUGUAGCGGUGAAAUGCGCAGAUAUCAGGAGGAACACCGGUGGCGAAGGCGGGUCUCUGGGCCGAUACUGACACUGAGGAGCGAAAGCGUGGGGAGCGAACAGG